rnacentral:lncRNA from 1 species
GGUUUAUUGAUGGAAAUAACAAAAUUCCAUUGAAAGUCUUAAAAGAGAUGGUGCUUUCAAGCUUUCCACAGAAAAUUGGGCUCUAGAUUCAGAGAAAUAAUGGAUUUGGGGGGGAAUGUGAGUACACUCAGACUCCUGUUAAAAACUUAUGUGAUUUCUAUGUAAAAAAGUCACAUCUUGUAAUUUUUCAGGGCCUUUGAAUAAGGACCAGAAUGGUUGCGGCUCUGAGGACAGGAGGCUUUAUACUGCUUGUAGUUUAAGUCUAUUGGGAGACUCUUCAAUUUAUUUGCUAUCAGUUGGCACAUAUAACAUGUAACCAGUUGAAGCCAGUUCAGCAUAGAGCUGCCUUGCUCAUGGAAGCCAGCAGCGGCACAAGAGCAUUCCAAGUCCCUAUGCCGCCCAUUAAGUCAUGUUCCCCUCAGCCUCAUCCAUUUCUAUACCCAGGGAGUCCAGGUUGAAACAAUCUUAGGAAACAUUUAUUUAUUUUGUAUUUUUAGGGCCACACCGGUGGCAUAUGGAGGUUCCCAGGCUAGGGGUCUAAUCGGAGUUGUAGCUGCCAGCCUAUGCCAGAGCCACAGCAACGCAGGAUCUGAGCUGUGUCUGUGACCUACACCACAGCUUAUGGCAACAGUGGAUCCUAUCCAAAAUCAUUCUUUUAAAAAUUUGAGAAGGCCUAUCUCAUUCCAAAGUCCUUGGCCCACUGGUAGCAUCCUUGAAGAAAAACCCCAAGGUCACAUUUUUGGAGAAGUCUUCAAAUGGCCCUUUCAUACUUAUUGUUAUGAUUACUGUUUUCCUUCUCUGAGCACCUAUACCCACUGUUCUAUUCUCUUACACAGACGUGAAGAUAGAAGUGCUUCAGAAAUAAGAGGAGAUGCACAGAGACAUAAAAUUGGAAUGUAGUUUCUUUUUCUUGUGGCAAGAGAGCAAGAAUUUGAGGUACAAUAUUGCAUCAGAGUACUUUUUUAAUGAUCAGCAGACUUCUGGUAUUCUCUUCUCAAAACUGGAAGUCUGGUAUCAAGUAUCAAAUGUCGAGGUUUUUGUUUUUCCUGUCUUAUCAGAUCAAAGUGAUUCACAAAUACAGGUCAAUCUUCUACAAACUCUUUCAAGUUGUUUUUUUAAAAAAGUACUGACUUGCAGAGGAUAAAAAUAAAAUAGGAUUAAGAUUUAGAGAGAGAAAAACUGGCUAAUAAACAGAAAAUAGUCACCCCUUUCAGAGUUGAGUUAUAAGCUUAACUAAAUGUUCUCUCUACAAAAUCUUUAAAUAUGUUGAGGCCAAAGUCAUACUAAAUAAAAUACACCAAGGGUCCUUUGGUGACUGAAUCAGGUUUGUUGCACCCUACAUGCAACAAGCCAAAACGCAGAGACGCCAAGGUUUGCAGUGGAGAGGAGAAAGAAAGGAAUUUUUCCCAAAGCAGCAAAGUAAGGAUCUUAGAUCUGCCUCCUCAAAGGCAAGGGGUAGGGGUAUUUAUAGGAUAAAAAAUAAAGUGAGGGGCAGUCUGAGGGGUGGGGAUCAUGGAAGGCAUGGGGAAACGCGGAGAAAUGUGAUUGGAAAAAGGUGCUAUAAUUGGUAAUCAUUGCCCUGUGCAGGUGUAACUAAGCUACCGGCUUCUGCAGGUUCAAACACGGAGGCACUUAGCACAAUCUGAGAGUGGCGUUUUCAGCCCUCUGACAUCAAAAGCUCCCUGAGCAGACACUGGCGCAUGCUCAGUUGGAGGAUCAGUGUUCUUAUCCAGUCUUAACCAGCCUCACUCGAACUAGACAGAGCUGACUCCCAUUUCUGGGAAACAGCUGGGGCUACAGUGCAUGCAGUUUGGAGGAUGUGCAAGUCCUAACAACAAUUAAAACGACCUUGAUUAGUAAAGACAGAUGAAAUAGAUCUGACUGAUGAUUACCCAAGGUUUCACUUUACCCUCAUAACAGUCUUCUGAAUGCAAUUAUCUUGGGACAAUCCUAUCUUAGAGAAUCUGUGUAUGUUCAAAGGCGGGGGGAGACAAGCUGGAUGGAUAACUUAUUGGAAAGAAUCAGGGAGAGACCAUAGAGACGGAUAUAGCUCUGACUAGGGAAGAAACAGACACCCAUUAAGACCCCAAAUGCUCUCUCUCCCUGCUCCUCUCCCUCUCCCCUUUCUCUGUUUCUUUUUCACAUGGGCAAAAUAGAGUCAUCACAGGCCUGACUUAAGUUCAGAAAUCCCUUAGACUCACUAGAUUUCCCCAAAUGCAUUUUCAAAUGCCAGAAAGAAGCAAUACCCAGCCUCUGUCCAAUCAUCUGCAGUAGGUGGAUGGGGCAGGAACUAGCCACUCUGGAAGCAGCCUGACUCUCUCAUCCCUUUGGGGCAUCAGAACACUUGCCCAGAGAGCUUGAGGGCUAAGUUAAUUACCUUAGGAAUUUGUUUAUUAUCUAUAUAUUUGUUUAUAAUAUGCUAUAAUUAAUUCCCAAUGGUCAGAGAGACUAGUUUUCCUUUCAUGUCAACAGUAACCACUAAACAGUGAAAGGAUUCAGUUUGGCAUAGUUCUUCAAAAGAUACACAGAAUUCUUCAAUCCACUCCCACCACUACCACACAUCCACCGUCUCCACAUCCUCCCUCCCCUGUCUGUCACCUCCCGACAGACUACAUCUGAGAUAACUGUAAACACAAAGAAGUUAUCAUUGGCCUGAUAGCAAAGAAGGUAAUAAUACCUCCCUCUAGCUUUCUUCAAAAGGAUGUUGUUGACAGUGAAUUCACUACUGUUUAUUGAGUACUUUGAGUUUCUCAGGAGAUAGUCACUGUAUAAAUACAAGGUAUUAUUACUAUUAUUACUACGUUUAACAUGUGGUUAAUAGUGGGAAAUUUUUUUUUACAGUCCCAGCUGUAAACUAUAGCUGUAAAUUCUUUCCUUCUUCUUUAAAGCUGUUCCAGAGGAUUUGAACAAUGAUACUACAGUAACAAUUCAAGUACAUCACUGUGCCUAAUGAAUAACAGCACUCUUGAUUAAUGGCACUUGUUCAACAUCACACUGACAGAAGUAUGAAGUGUUAAAAAAAAAAAAAACAAAAAACGGACUGAAUUUUUUUCGAGCUGGAUUUUUUUUAUUAUUACCUUUUCAUCUAUUCAACUGCUGUUGUAUUUUUUUCAUUCAACAAGUAUUCUGCUUUUGUCUCACGCUGGUACUUGCUAUCAGAGGGUUAUCACUCAAGAGAUCUGCCCUAGGACCUGCCAAGCAUCUCAGCAAUCAGCAAGUCGGCUGCUACCCUAGCCAGAGACCUCUACCCAGGGUGAAAAAGGAGGAGGGUGGGAAAGGGAAGGAGGGCAAGCGUUGCUGACAGGCACACACUGGUCACAGCUGACAAGGAAUAGCCAGGUGCUGGCAAUAUCUAUCACGGAGCCAUUGGUGAAUUGUAGGUGACUGGAGGCAUACUUCACGGUGCUGUAUCAGAGUUUAUGUAUUUUACUAACCUUAUUUCAUUGGGUUGAAGCUAUACAGUUUUAUGGGUCCCCCAACCCUCUACUAGUUGGAAAUAAAUUCCUCCUCAGCCAUAUAUCAGAGGAUGACACUGACUGUUGGCCCAUCUCUCUGGGCAAACGCUCUGCCUGUAUUUCUUCUUUUCUUUCAGCCUGGAGGUAGGGUGCAGGGGUGUGGAGAUGGGAGUGUUUCUGUAUGACAUGCAGGAGGGAAAAAUCUCCGUAGUUCAAGGUGAGGGGGGAAGUGCAACCCGAAUGCCAGCUUUAGCCUCUUGUCGCAUCCUGUCUUGCAAAUUGUUCAUUCCGCUGGCGAUUUGAAUGGUUAGCACGAUUGUCAGCUAUCUCUGCACUCCAGCUUUUCUCUCUCCUGGCAGGAACAUCUGGGACACAGACUUUACAAACAGUAAUAAUAACCCUACUUUAGCUUUCACAUUUUUGCAGUUGUUAUUAUGUCAUCAUGGUAAAUGACCAUAAUUGACCCCCACAAUGAAAUGUUGCCAACAUUCAUAUGAAUAGAACUGCAGUCGUGCAGGCUAGCAGGCUAGCAGGCAUGUGCUUUGCAAAUAAAAAUUUUGCUGAAUAGCUGAAAUCUCAGGUUCGUUUGGGGACCUGCGUAUUUCAGAGUUAUAAGAGAAAAUGAUUUGUUUCUGAAACAGAAGAGUGCUGCACACAGGAACCUAAAUAGGAGGUCAGGGGUAAGUAUUAAAAGGAGAUUUCCAGAAUUUGCAGGAGCCCUCGUGUCUCUGGGGGCUGAUGUUGAUACACAGUGAUGAGUCAUGAGACUCCACCUGAGCAUGGAGAUCUUCUAAUUCUAUUUCUCAUUAAAAGGGCACACACAAAAUACACAUACACACACAACCCCACACACACAAUUCAACCAUCUCUACCAUCCCAGAAUUAUCUCAUCUCUUCUGACCUUCUCCAGAACUGGCCUGAAAUGAGGACAUAACAAAACAGUGAAGAAGCGACAAUGCCCAAACACAUAUCAAUUCUCUGACUAUAACUGUGCAUUUUAAUAUUGUGCUCAGGAUGCAAUUCCAGCUAAAUUAGUCGUGACAAUUUUCACCUGAUGUGGUUGAGAAAUCAAGAUCAUUUCAAGAUGGUUUUCUCAAUAAAUGAAUGAAUGGGUGAAUAAAUGAAUGAAAUCUAUCUGCUCCUAUUUCUAAGAAACCUAUUUUAAUCACAGAAUGCCUAUUUUUUUAUUAGGCUCUCUUUUCUCAAACCGGGCACAUUGCCCUAAAAUAAAACAACCCAGCACAGAAAGCAGGGACCUUGAAAUUAGCUCUAUAUAGAUUUAUGUAAUCUAAAGAAACCUUGCUGGUUCAGUCACUGUCAUCCAGAGCCAGUUAAAAUUACUCACACAGGAUUUUGAAACCUGCCCCCAAAGUCUUCUCUCAAUUCUUCCUCAUGUUCCAGAAACAAACUUCUCUCCAGUUCUGCUCUUCUACUUAAUGAAAACUCCUUUAGGGAGAAAAACCAGCAGCCUCACAUCAUUCUUGCUAUAUUAAGAAAGAUCAUGACAUUUUCAUUACAAACAUAAUAAUAGAAAUUAUUCAACUAUCCCUAUGAUUUACAAAUGAUAGGGAAAUUGAGAAAGAACUUUGCUUGGCCAGUUUCUUGCAUUUUUUUUUUUCCUUAUUACAGCCACAACUGUGGCAUAUGGAAGUUCCCAGGCUAAGGGGUCGAAUGAGAGUUGCAGCUGAGGCCUACAUGACAGUCAUAGCAAUAUGGGAUCCGAGCCACAGCUUGCAGCAAUGCCAGAUCC